CAUUUUUGCCUAGUAAGUUUCUGAUUUUGAAAGCUCUUAAUCUGGUACGCUAUUGGUGUCGUUUAUUGUGUGUGUCCACUUGAUUCUGCUCUGCAUUCAGUGUGUUAAUUAAUGCGUGAUCUCUAUUGAGUCACCCCUGGUAUUUCUGGUCAUAGCCCACUCCUAAUUGUGGACCCUGGGCACCAGUUGAAAGGUGUAAUAUAAUUGUAUUACUCGUUGGCCCUAG